rnacentral:rRNA from 1 species
UACGUAGGUGACAAGCGUUGUCCGGAUUUAUUGGGCGUAAAGAGCUCGUAGGUGGUUCGGUAAGUCGGAUGUGAAAUCUCCAGGCUCAACCUGGAGGGGUCAUUCGAUACUGCCGUGACUAGAGUUCGGUAGGGGAGUGUGGAAUUCCUGGUGGAGCGGUGAAAUGCGCAGAUAUCAGGAGGAACACCCGUAGCGAAGGCGGCACUCUGGGCCGAUACUGACACUGAGGAGCGAAAGCGUGGGGAGCGAACAGG